rnacentral:lncRNA from 1 species
AUGAGUGUAUGUGCUGGGUGUGUGGUGAAAAAAAGAAUUUCCAGAGACAUCGUUACAUCUGACUUACCAAUAAGUGUUGAACCAACAACAACUUAUAUCCCUACAACAACUACUCCUGACUCAACAACAACCACAACAACCACUGCUGCCCCCACAACAACUAUAACCACCGCUGCCUCCACAACCACAACAACAACCGCUGCCCCUGCAACAACCACAACAACCACUGCUGCCCCCACAACAACAACCACAACAACCACUGAAGACCCCACAACAACAACCACUGCUGCCCCCACAACAACUACAACCACCGCUGCCUCCACAACCACAACAACAACCGCUGCCCCUGCAACAACCACAACAACCACUGCUGCCCCCACAACAACAACCACAACAACCACUGAAGACCCCACAACAACAACCACUGAAGACCCCACCACAACCACCGCUGCCCCCACAACAACCACCGCUGCCCCCACAACAACAACCACCGCUGCCCCCACAACCACAACAACCACCACUGCCCCCACAACAACCACAACAACAACUACUUCUGCCCCCGCAACUGACUCAACAACAACCACUGAAGACCCCACAACGACAACCACAAAAACAACUGCUGACCAAGCAAUAACAACAUCCACCGCUGCCCCCACAACGACAACAACCACCACUGCCCCCACAACCACAACAACAACCGCUGCCCCCACAACAACAACCACAAAAACAACUGCUGACCAAGCAAUAACAACAACCAUCGCUGCCCCCACAACAACAACAUCCACCGCUGCCCCCACAACGACAACAACCGCUGCCCCCACAACAACAACAUCCACCGCUGCCCCCAUAACCACAACAACCGCUGCCCCCACAACAACAACAACCACCACUGCCCCCACAACAACAACACCCACCACUGCCCCCACAAUGACAACAACAACCGCUGCCCCCACAACAACAACCACAACAAAAACUGCUGCCCCAACAACAACAACAACCGCUGCCUCCACAACAACCACUGAAGACCCCACAAUAACAACCACAACAACAACUGCUGACCAAGCAAUAACAACAAUAACCACUGCUGCCCCCACAACAACCACAACAACUGCUGCCCCAACAACAUCAACUGCUAAUAAAUCAUCAAAAUUUUUUGUUCCAUCUACUGCUUUCCUGGCGAUAACAGCUGGCACCCUAGUGAUGACAGAAACAAUAUAUCUGUUGCUUGGACUCCUUAUUGUUUCUUUUAUUUUUUUGUAG